rnacentral:lncRNA from 1 species
AUGUCAUGAGAGGUGGAUGAAGGCCAUGCUUGUGUCCCUAGAACUGAAUGUCUCAAGAUGGGUGAUCACCCUCUUGGAGCCAGAGGUCAUUGAUCCUGUUAAUUCUUCCCUCCCAGAGGAGAGGUGGGGUGUGGAGCCGUGGUGGCUGCCAUUUCCCAGGAAUGGAGUGGCAGAGGGAGCUGAGGGGCAGCAGCAAUUUGCCUCACCUUAGGGUGAGUCUAAGCCGAGAAGAAAAGAGGGAGGAGGAAUGGGGGAAAUGGCUACGUGUCACCAGGACUGCCAUUUAGGCAGAGUUGGUGCAGCCAAGCUGGAGUAGGCUGAGGAGUCAGCCCAAGUGCAAGUGGCGGAGAACAUUCGUUGCUGAGAUUUUUGCAGAAGGAAGCAGGAGUCACAGUGGCUGAGUUGUUUUAUGGACAAGUGCAUCCUUUAGUCCCUGCAACUGAGGUAAGCCACAUGUCGCCCUGAGCCACUGUGCUUUGUGUUCAAAGCUCAUUCAUUCCUCCUCCCACUUCCUGCUGAUCCUUGCCUUACCUCUGGCUGUCCCUGGAAGGUGGCUGCUUGUUAUCUGUGACAGCC